rnacentral:rRNA from 1 species
CGCCUAACACAUGCAAGUCGAACGAAGUAGCAAUACUUAGUGGCGAACGGGUGAGUAUAAUGUGGGUAUCUGCCUUUUGGUUUGGAAUAACACGGGGAAACUUGUGCUAAUACCGGAUAAGCCUUCACAGGGAAAGUUUUAACGCCAAAAGAUGAGCCCGCACUUGAUUAGCUAGUUGGUAAGGUAAAAGCUUACCAAGGCUACGAUCAAUAGCUGAUCUGAGAGGAUGAUCAGCCACAUUGGGACUGAGACACGGCCCAAACUCCUACGGGAGGCAGCAGUGGGGAAUCUUGCACAAUGGGGGAAACCCUGAUGCAGCGAUGCCGCGUGAGUGAAGAAGGCCCUUGGGUUGUAAAGCUCUUUCGUCGGGGAAGAAAAUGACUGUACCCGAAUAAGAAGGUCCGGCUAACUUCGUGCCAGCAGCCGCGGUAAUACGAAGGGACCUAGCGUAGUUCGGAAUUACUGGGCUUAAAGAGCUCGUAGGUGGUUAGAAAAGUUGGUGGUGAAAUCCCAAGGCUUAACCUUGGAACUGCCAUCAAAACUUUUUAACUAGAGUAUGAUAGAGGAAAGUGGAAUUUCUAGUGUAGAGGUGAAAUUCGUAGAUAUUAGAAAGAACACCAAUUGCGAAGGCAACUUUCUGGAUCAUUACUGACACUGAGGAGCGAAAGCAUGGGUAGCGAAGAGGAUUAGAUACCCUCGUAGUCCAUGCUGUAAACGAUGUGUGCUAGACGUUGGAAAUUUAUUUUCAGUGUCGCAGCAAAAGCGUUAAGCACACCGCCUGGGGAGUACGACC